rnacentral:misc_RNA from 1 species
GAAAUGCGAUACUUGGUGUGAAUUGCAGAAUCCCGUGAACCAUCGAGUCUUUGAACGCAAGUUGCGCCCGAAGCCAUUAGGCCGAGGGCACGCCUGCCUAGGCGUCACACGUCGUUGCCCCCCCCAUCUACUCCUUCGGGAUUGCGGGGGGCGGAUGACGGCCUCCCGUGCGCCUCGCCGCGCGGUUGGCAUAAAUACCAAGUCCUCGGCGACGCACGCCACGACAAUCGGUGGUUGCGAGACCUCGGUUGCCCGUCGUGUGCGUUCGUCGCGCAUCGAGGGCUCGAAAAAAUGCUCGGCUCUGGCUCGGCUUUCAACGCGACCCCAGGUCAGGCGGGGUUACCCGCUGAAUUUAAGC